UACAGAGGUCUCAAGCGUUGUUCGGAUUCAUUGGGCGUAAAGGGUGCGUAGGUGGCGCUGUAAGUCGGGUGUGAAAUUUCGGAGCUUAACUCCGAAACUGCAUUCGAUACUGCGGUGCUUGAGGACUGGAGAGGAGACUGGAAUUCAUGGUGUAGCAGUGAAAUGCGUAGAGAUCAUGAGGAAGACCAGUGGCGAAGGCGGGUCUCUGGACAGUUCCUGACGCUGAGGCGCGAAGGCCAGGGGAGCGAACGGGG
rnacentral:rRNA from 1 species